AGUGAGUAUUGUAUUCCCUUAUCGAGAGGUAUCUAAUAAACUAUCUAAUUUCACACGAACUUGACACUUUUUUCCAAAGAGAAUAUAUUCGCGGAAUACGAAAGAAUUUUCUUGAAAGAAGAAUAACAUCAAUUGGAUGAUUUUCAUCUAUGACUUUAAAUCGCCUUUUCGUGAACAAAUUGACCAAGAUAACUACAAAAUGGCGUAUGUGUGGCCUGAUCAUAGAAAAGGUCUCGCUGAAAUCUGAUUGCUUCUUGCGCGUUAAAAUAGCAAUCAGCUGAUCUUGUGUCGAAGAACACAAUACUGAACAGAAUCAUUACGAAAUCGAAUUUCGAUAACUGUGAACCGUGACUCGCUAAGCGUUUUUGCCUUUCAACCCCUUCAUUACUUUCUCUUCUUCUACUUAUGCAUUUUAUAUUUUAUGUGAAAAUUAGUUUCCAAUUUUUAACAUUACAAUAAAAGUUGAUAUAAUUAAAUCAACUAAGAAAAUUUGAAAAUAUUCAAAAAAAUAAUGAAGGAAUAAAAGGAUAUUGAAAAACAUUAUUUAAAAAAGAAUACUGGAAGAACAAUUCAGUUUUCGCUCAGAUAGAUAAAAAGUCAUGAAGCAUGAACGAAGAAAGAAGUUGCUAAGAUGUAGAAUAUAUUCGUGAGAGGCUAAUUUGAUCUUUGUAGGAUGCAUAAAAUUUACAGUGCAGUAUAGAGGGAGGUGUGUACGUGUAUUAGCCGGAUCAUGGCCGUAAAGCAAGAGCUCGAUCUGUCGAAGCACAUGUUGCUUUCGUAUACGAUUCGACCUCGCGUUCGCUCGAUACUUACUCCGGUCUUAUGCAAAUCAGCCGAGCAAUACGUGCUUGGCGGAAUGAUGAGCGGUUGGCUAAGGUCAUCGCAAAGGAAGGUUAGAGAACAGGAUUGGAUUCACCCCUUUGCUUAGUUAGAUGUGCGCUUGGAUUGGUUGCAUAAAAUUAUUUGAAGAAAAUCUGUAAGAAAAUUAUGAAAUUAGAGAUAGUGAAAUAUAGUAAAAAAAAAAAUAAAAAACAUAA